rnacentral:rRNA from 1 species
UACGGAGGGGACUAGCGUUGUUCGGAAUUACUGGGCGUAAAGGGCGCGUAGGCGGCUUAUCAAGUCAGGCGUGAAAUUCCCGGGCUCAACCUGGGGGCUGCGCUUGAUACUGAUUGGCUUGAAUGCGGGAGAGGAUAGUGGAAUUCCCAGUGUAGAGGUGAAAUUCGUAGAUAUUGGGAAGAACACCGGUGGCGAAGGCGGCGACCUGGUCCAUUACUGACGCUGAGGCGCGACAGCGUGGGGAGCAAACAGG